UGGGGAAUAUUGCACAAUGGGCGCAAGCCUGAUGCAGCCAUGCCGCGUGUAUGAAGAAGGCCUUCGGGUUGUAAAGUACUUUCAGCGGGGAGGAAGGUGUUGAGGCUAAUAACCUCAGCAAUUGACGUUACCCGCAGAAGAAGCACCGGCUAACUCCGUGCCAGCAGCCGCGGUAAUACGGAGGGUGCAAGCGUUAAUCGGAAUUACUUGGCGUAAAGCGCACGCAGGCGGUCUGUCAAGUCGGAUGUGAAAUCCCCGGGCUCAACCUGGGAACUGCAUUCGAAACUGGCAGGCUAGAGUCUUGUAGAGGGGGGUAGAAUUCCAGGUGUAGCGGUGAAAUGCGUAGAGAUCUGGAGGAAUACCGGUGGCGAAGGCGGCCCCCUGGACAAAGACUGACGCUCGGGUGCGAAAGCGUGGGGAGCAAACA
rnacentral:rRNA from 1 species